AUUGAACGCUGGCGGCAUGCCUUACACAUGCAAGUCGAACGGCAGCACGGGGCAACCUGGUGGCGAGUGGCGAACGGGUGAGUAAUGCAUCGGAACGUGCCAUUGAGUGGGGGAUAACGUAGCGAAAGUUGCGCUAAUACCGCAUAUUCUGUGAGCAGGAAAGCAGGGGACCGCAAGGCCUUGCGCUCUUUGAGCGGCCGAUGUCAGAUUAGCUAGUUGGUGAGGUAACGGCUUACCAAGGCGACGAUCUGUAGCGGGUCUGAGAGGAUGAUCCGCCACACUGUAACUGAGACACGGUCCAGACUCCUACGGGAGGCAGCAGUGGGGAAUUUUGGACAAUGGGCGCAAGCCUGAUCCAGCCAUGCCGCGUGAGUGAAGAAGGCCUCGGUUGU
rnacentral:rRNA from 1 species